UGAGCCCACAGCCUCUGUGCAAGGAGUUUCACUGAAGAAAUCCCCUCUGCAUGUGCCCAGCAGCCAAAAUUGGCCUUUUCUAGUGGAUGGUGAAACACUGGAAGACCUUUGAAGGACUGCAAAGGAAGGAAGGAAAUUGUUACCAUGUGGUUUGUCUUGCUGUUUAAAUAAGUUAAAAUGGUAAAACCAGAAAAGAGCUGUGGUGCAGUUGAUGAGGUGGUAUAAACCAAAGUUGUGAUGCUAAGGUUUUUGCAGAUGUGCUGCCAUGAGGAGGAAAAGCAGAAGGCUUGGCCUCAGGAGCUACAGUUCUUUCCCACCACACUUGUACGUGUUCCUACACCCUCAGCAUCUCUCCUGCUGCCAUGGAGGUGCUGCAUGGGAGCAGUCUGCCUUGCCUGUGCCUUCACCUUUGGGACUGUGGCUGACGGGGUGGGUCUUGCUGUAGCAGAAGGCUGCUGAUGUGCACAGAGGGAGUGUUUACCCACCACCUCCCUCGACAGGACUUCAGCUCACGCAGAGCAGGGCUGUGUGGUGAGGGGGAGUGGGGGACACAAAACCCUUCCAGCCUUGAAAAAUGCCAGUGGGGCUGCAGGCAGGCUCCUGUUGCACAGCAGCCAGACUGGCUGGCACCCCAACGGGGCGCUUCAUCCCCAGACAGCUGCAGCCAGCCAUGACAACACCCAUGCUGGGCAGGAGGGAGGGGGAUGCGAUCAGUCAGGGCAGGCUGGAGGGCAGCUGUGGGGGAGAACCUCAGUGGCACCCAGGGGGGCUUCUUCAUGUGACACACAAACCACUUGCACUGCAGCUGUGAGACACCAACCACUUGUGCAUGCCCCAUGUGCACACCACACUUGAGACACAGAACACACACCCCUGCACAUCUAAAACACACAACACCCACCGGAGGCAAAACCCACUCAUGCACACAUGAAAAACAGAGUAGGUGUAUGCUGCACACUUGGGAUACAAACCAUGCUGGUGCCAGGCAGUGGAGACAGGACCUGCGUGCUACUCAUGCAACACACAGGCGAGUCACAAAACAGUGGGGUAGUGCACCGUGUGUGCCCCACACCACCUGUGCUCACUGCACACCUGUGUGCUGCACAACACCCACACCUGCUGCACACUUGCACCACAACACACUGGUGUGUACCACACAACGUCAUGUGCCACUUGCACCACAGCACACUUGCAAGUACACAACACUGCAUUGCACACUUGCAGCACAAGACACUCAGGCAUCGCACACGUGCAAGACACCUGUGAUGCUGCUGCACUUGUGUGAUGCACCACAUGUGGGACACCACAUGUACGCUGCACAUAUGUAACACCACGUUUGCCACACACCUGUGACAUACCACAUGUGACACCACACAGGACAUGCCACACACAUUACACCCCACAUGUAUGAUGCUACAUGUCAGACCCCACAUGCAUGACACGACACCACACCUGUGAUGCUGCAUGUGUGAUGCACCACAUG